rnacentral:rRNA from 1 species
UACGUAGGGUGCAAGCGUUAAUCGGAAUUACUGGGCGUAAAGCGUGCGCAGGCGGUUAUGUAAGUCAGACGUGAAAUCCCUCGGCUUAACCGGGGAACUGCGUCUGAUACUGGAUGGCUUGAGGUUGGGAGAGGGAUGCGGAAUUCCAGGUGUAGCGGUGAAAUGCGUAGAUAUCUGGAGGAACACCGGUGGCGAAGGCGGCAUCCUGGACCAAUUCUGACGCUGAGGAGCGAAAGCCAGGGGAGCAAACGGG